CCCUUAGAUGUUCUGGGCGGCCCGCGCACUACAUUGGCACUAGCAAAGAGAUCCUAGAUUGAAUUCUUUGGGGUAUUCUUCUAAAUGGUGUCGUGACUGGGAUAAAUCCUUGUAAUUAUUGGUUUUGAACGAGGAAUUCCUUGUAAUCGCGGUUUAUCAGCUCGCGUUGAAUGCGUCCCCGCCCUUUGUACACACCGCCCGUCGCUCCUACCGAUGGAUCGUCCGGUGAAGCUCACGGAGUGACUGUUCACGCAACGGUUUACGAAGUGAAAUGGACCUCACGAUUUAGAGGAAGGAGAAGUCGUAACA
rnacentral:rRNA from 1 species